AUAAUUAACCACACGAUCGAGCAACGAGCAGACCAGCAUGCAUUAUACACAGAACUUACUCAAGUUUCUAAAUAUUCAAAGAAGAUAGCUAGUCAUGUCAGAGAUCAGCACGUGAAGACGGGCAACAAGAAAGGAUAUGUUGUAUGUAUAAUGUAGUACUACUACUAUUGAGUUGUUACGAAAAGCUCGGGCUUUAGAGUUCAUUUUUCUUUUACAUGUGUGUGUGUCUGUGUAAUGGCCGGAGUUGGACCACUUUUUCUUUUUCAUGGUUUUCUUUUUCAAGAAAAACAUUAAGCUUUUCAAAAUAUUUGGUAGUGGGAUGCAGGUGUGUGCAGUGUACAAAGACAAAAGGAAAAGAAGAGAUCAACUUCUUAGUUCUUUACGUACGUGGAACAAAAAGUACUGAUCAGUGGAAAUCAUUAAUGUCGGUUUUAUAUUGCCGGUUUUGUCGAUGACAUGGUUCAUAUAAUAAUAUCCAAGCUCGAUGCAUUACUUUAA